GUGGUGGUGGCCGUGGGCGGCACCGCGAUGGUGGCGCUGCUGAUCACCCGGGCGGUGUCCGCGGUCCAGGACUACGCCGCCGCUC
rnacentral:tRNA from 1 species